CUAAAUGCCGGUUACUUUACUGUAGUACUCAGGUGCGUGUUUUCAAAAUUUAUAACCCCGCGCUUUUAAAUUAAUUUUAAAAAUUAUUUAUUUAUUUGAAACUUUUUAUUUGAUUUGUAGGCAAAUUUUAAAUGGGGGAGAGACGGAAAAAAUUAUUUGAAAAUUUUUAUUUUAGCGCUUCUUGCGGUGGAAAAUUUUAUUGUGGAAAUGGGGAAAUUAAUUGAGAAGUGAUCAAGUUUGUGAUAGGUGGGGAUUGACAAGUGAUUUUGUUUAUUAAAAUAUUUGUUCAAUUAAUUUUUUGACUUGAGUUGUCAAGAGUUCAACGAUCUGAUAAUAAUGGCGGGUAACUCGCCAUGUUUUGUUUUGGAUCACGUGGUUUUUUUUGAAUUAGCGCGCGUUAAAUUUUAUUUUGUUUAUAAUUGACGGAUGAGUUUGAAGGAAGUUUCAAGAGUAAUGAGAAGUAAUUUAUGUAAUUAAUUAUUAAAUUAAUAAUUUGAAAUUUUUUGACCGUAAUAGAACACAUGGAAAGGAAGAUAUUUAAAAAAAUUAGUGUUAGAGCCAAGUUUUUUCUUUUAAGCGGCCAUUUUUACUUAUAACAAUGCAGAAACUGUUACAAAAAAAUGAAAAAUGAAUGGGAAAGAAGCAGACGGUGUAAGUUAAGAAGACUAGGCCGGAUUGUCUGAAAUAAAUUCCUGGAAGGAUCAAGCCGAUGGAUCGGGAUCUUUUGUAAAAAGAUCAACAGAAAUAAUCGAUACAUUCCCUUUCAAUUUUAUGCCAGCCUCUUUUUUUUCCUCUCAAGCUUUAGUUUAUACUCCAUAGUAUCGA